rnacentral:rRNA from 1 species
GCGAGUGAACCGGGAAGAGCUCAAAUUUGAAAUCUGGCUGUCUUUGAUAGUCCGAGUUGUAAUCUAUAGAAGCGUUUUCCGUGCUGAACCAUGUCUAAGUCCCUUGGAACAGGGUAUCAAAGAGGGUGACAAUCCCGUACUUGACAUGAUCAUCAGUGCUCUGUGAUACGUUCUCUACGAGUCGUGUUGUUUGGGAAUGCAGCACAAAAUGGGUGGUAAAUUCCAUCUAAAGCUAAAUAUUGGCGAGAGACCGAUAGCGAACAAGUACCGUGAGGGAAAGAUGAAAAGCACUUUGGAAAGAGAGUUAAACAGUACGUGAAAUUGUUAAAAGGGAAACGAUUGAAGUCAGUCGUGUUCAUUGGAUUCAGCCGGUCUUCGGUGUACUUCCUUUGAACGGGUCAACAUCAGUUUUGUCCGGUGGAUAAAGGCAGUAGGAAUGUGGCUCCCUCGGGAGUGUUAUAGCCUAUUGUCACAUGCACUGGAGGAGACUGAGGACUGCAGCUCGCCUUUUGGCCGGGGUUCGCCCACGUUCGAGCUUAGGAUGUUGACAUAAUGGCUUUAAACGACCC